CCUACGGGGGGCAGCAGUAGGGAAUUUUGGGCAAUGGGCGAAAGCCUGACCCAGCAACGCCGCGUGUAGAAUGAAGGCCCUCGGGUCGUAAACUACUGUCAGGAGGGAAGAACAGCUGCACGAUCAAUACCCGUGCGGUUUGACGGUACCUCCAAAGGAAGCGCCGGCUAACUCCGUGCCAGCAGCCGCGGU
rnacentral:rRNA from 1 species